CAUCAGCCAAUAUGCCAGUAUAUCAAGCCAAUUAAUAGGCAGGCGCAUCUGCGGGCAGCCUAGUGUUAAAAACAUAAAUAGGCGACAUUUUUUUUACAUGGCACCCAGACCAGCUGCCUCCGAGCCCUCCCCCC